GGCGGGCGGCCCUAGCUCCAGGGCGGCCUUAGCUCCUGAGCGCCCGGCGGGCUCCUGGCACCCGCGCCCAGGAACCGUAGGACUGCGGAGCCUGGAAACCCCAGAGUCCGGGAGCCUGGGAACUGGAGAGCGGCCAGAAGCAAAAGAUGUCACCUGAAGUCAACUUGCAGAGGAAACAAUGCCAGCAUGGACUUUGCUUGAAGACCUCAGGUGAGAGAGACAGAGCAUGAACGGGGGAGGGGCGGAGAGAGAGGGAGACACAGAAUCG